rnacentral:rRNA from 1 species
UACGUAGGGGGCAAGCGUUAUCCGGAUUUACUGGGUGUAAAGGGAGCGUAGACGGCAGUGCAAGUCUGAAGUGAAAGGCGGGGGCCCAACCCCCGGACUGCUUUGGAAACUGUGCUGCUGGAGUGCAGGAGAGGCAAGUGGAAUUCCUAGUGCAGCGGUGAAAUGCGUAGAUAUUAGGAGGAACACCAGUGGCGAAGGCGGCUUGCUGGACUGUAACUGACGUUGAGGCUCGAAAGCGUGGGGAGCAAACAGG